UAGAUGAGGAUGAGGCAAAAUAUAUAAUCCAACACUUGAUCUGAGUUUAUCACGAGUGAUGGUAAGAAAAAAAUUGCUGCUGAAUCUAC